rnacentral:rRNA from 1 species
GAUGAACGCUGGCGGCGUGCCUAAUACAUGCAAGUCGAGCGGACGGACGAGACGCUUGCUUCUCUGAUGUUAGCGGCGGGCGGGUGAGUAACACGUGUAUACCCUCCCUAUCAGACGGGGAUAACUUCGGGAAACGGUAGCUAAUACCGGAUGAUAUUUUGCACCGCGUGGUUCAAAAGUGAAAGACGGUCUUGCUGGCACUUAUAGAUGGAUCCGCGCUGCAUUAGCUAGUUGUUAAGGUAACGGCUUACCAAGGCAACGAGGCAUAGCCGACCGGAGAGGGGGAUAGGCCACAUUGGAACGGAGACACGGACAAGACGCCUACGGGAGGCAGCAGUAGGGAAUCGUACGCAAUGGGCGAAAGCCUGACGGAGCAACGCCGCGUGAGUGAUGAAGGUCUUCGGAUCGUAAAAAUCUGUUAUGAGGGAAGAACAGAUGUGGAAGGAACUGUGCACAGCUUGACGGUAACGAAUCAGAAAGCCACGGCUAACUACGUG